AGACUCUUUGCAUUAGGAGCUUAACCAGGUAACAUCAUUACCACUUCGGGGCCCCUUGUCGAUGGACAUCACCCGAAACCUCUACCUCUGAUGUCUUCCUUCUACAUCAACUGAUCAACUGAUCUCCUGAAUCUCGGAGGCCUCUGCCUUUUGAAUCUGACCCAGUAAUGGAAGAAAUCAUUCAUCGUUCAGCAAGAGGAGGAAAGAGGGAAGAGGAAGAAAAAACACAACAAGACCCGGCAACACAAUGGGCCUCUAGUGCUGGUCUGUCUACUGAAAUGGUGCCUGGCUGAUGACUGGGAGGGAUCAGGCAUGUCUGUGGGGUUUGCCUUUCAUGGGGCCUUGAAUGACCCGAGAGAGACUGGAUGUGGCUCUCUCUUGGGCUCCAAGGGGAAAUUUGAGAUAUGUCCCCCUCUACUUUCUCCUUUUACAACUCCUGACUUAAAAAAAAUGACUGCUCUAUUCACAACGGAAAAGUGAAGGGAGACGAGGAACUAGGCGGCUCCCACCUGGUACUCUACCCUGCACCUUAGAGACAGCUGUACAUAGAGUCAUUGAAAACUGGUAACAUUCAUGUUUACAUACUGUUUUACCCACUCUAUAUGUAUAUACUGUAUUUUAGUCAUGGAUCAUCCUAUAUAACUACUGUUGUACGCAUCUUUUCUAUUCAUAUGCUGUCUAACACACUACAUUAUAUGCAUACUGUAUACAGUACCAGUCAAAAGUUUAGACACACCUACUCAUUCAAGGGUUUUUCUUUAUAUUUACUAUCUUCUACAUUGUAAAAUAAUAAUGAAGACAUCCAAACUAUGAAAUAACACAUACAGAAUCAUUUAGUAAGCAAAAAAAUGUUAAAGUGUUAUUUGAGAUUUGAGAUUCUUCAAUGUAGCCACUCACAGGUUUGCACACUCUUGGCAUACUCUCAACCAGCUUCAUGACGUAGUCACCUGGAAUGCAUUUCAGUUAACAGGUGUUCCUUGUUAAAAGUUAAUUUGUGGAAAUUCUUUACUUCUUAAUGCAUUUGAGACAAUGUUGUGUUGUGACAUGGUAGGGGUGGUAUACAGAAGUUAGCCCUAUUUGGUGAAAGACCAAGUCCAUAUUAUGGCAAGAACAGCUCAAAUAAGCAAAGUAAAACGACAGUCCAUCGUUACUUUAAGACAUGAAGGUCUGUCCAUGCAGAAAAUUUCAAGAACUUUGAAAGUUUCUUCAGGCACAGUCGCAAAAACCAUCAAGUGCUAUGAUGAUACUGGCUCUCAUGAGGACCGCCACAGGAAAGGAAGACCCAGAGUUUCCUCUGAUGCAGAGGAUAAGUUCAUUAGAGUUACCAACCUCAGAUUGCAGCCCAAAUAAAUGCUUCACAGAGUUCAAGUAACAGACACAUCUCAACAUCAACUGUUCAGAGGAGACUGCAUGAAUCAGGUCUUCGUGGUGGAAUUGCUGCAAAGAAACCACUACUAAUGGACACCAAUAAUAAUAAGAGACUUGCUUGGGCCAAGGAACAUGAGCAAUGGACAUUAGACUGGUGUAAAUCUGUCCUUUGGUCUGAUGAGUGCAAAUAUGAGAUUUUUGUUUCCAACCACAGUGUCUUUGUGAUACGCAGAGUAGGUGAACAGAUGAUCUCUGCAUGUGUGGUUCCCGCCGUGAAGCAUGGAGCAGGAGGUGUGGGGGUCUUUGCUGGUGACACUGUCAGUGAUUUAUUUAGAACUCAAGGCACACUUAACCAGCAUGGCUGUUGGAGAAGCAUUCCUCAUGAAGCUGGCUGAGAGAAUGCCAAGAGUGUGCAAAGCUGUCAUCAAGGCAAAGGGUGGCUACUUUGAAUAAUCUAAAAUCUAAAAUACUUUUUUUUGGUUACUACAUGAUUCCAUGUCUGUUAUUUCCUAGUUUUGAUGUCUUCACUAUUAUUCUACAAUGUAGAAGAUAUAUAAAAAUAAAGAAAAACCUUUGAAUGAGUAGGUGUGUCCAAACUUUUGACUGGUACUGUAUAUAUUUAUAUUCCAGUCUUUGACAUAGAAACUUCUGAUAUUUCUUUAUUUCUUUAUUUUUUCUUCUGGAUAACGUGUAUAUUGUUUUGUUAUUUUGCAUUCUGCUGCAUCUACAAUAAUUUCUGCAAAUCUGUGUAUGCGGCCAAUAAAUUUUGAUUUGAAAAUGUAUGCACAGAUGACUGUAAUUCGCCUUUGGAUAAAAGAGUCUGCUCGAUGGCAUAUUUUAUUAUAUUAUAAUUUGAAUAAUUUUGGCAGACUGUGUGUUCUCAAACAAUAGGUUGACUGUACAAGUCAAUGGACAACAGAUAUAAAAGCAUAAGGUGAUUGAGGUGUUUCAAAGGUGAUGUUUGUCAAGGGCUGUACUUCUGAGUUCUGGUUUAACACACAGAUAUCGAAUCACCCCUUUGCAUACUCAUUCUGUUCUCUGAAAUUGUAGGCCAAUUACAUAAUUCAUUGGCAUGUCCUUUUAAAGUUCAAAUUAUUGAAAGAUUGUGUCAUCUUGCCUUUUGACAUGUUUUGCUCCACUGAUAAACUAUUAACUCUGAUAACAUUUUUACAUUUUUCACCACUGGUAUCUUGAUGAUGUAUUUCUAUAAACUAUUCCAAUUCUCCAACAUUUCUGUCUUCUGUCUUCACAGCUUGUCUGUCAUCAAGCUGCUGUAGCUACAAAGACCCUGGCUACUUUCCUCUGAUGCUCCUACCUAAACCUUGUAAUUGUCGUCUUACCAGACAAGUUUAGAUCUAGCUACUCUGUCUAAUACUGUCUGGUAAUGCCGUCCAUUACAAGGUGUCUCAUCGCUCUUUCUCUGUCAGUCUCUUGGACAAUCCUGUACAAAUGAACUGGUAUCGGGUCAUGUGAUGUUUUUUCACCCCUCAAUGAUUUCGCCAAUAACUGGCUUAGAAUGUUUAAUUGCAGGUCAAUUUUUUGGGUGGAAUUAUGUAUUUGUAUGUAAAAUGUCUUGAACAGAUAUUUGCUAACAGUAUUUUGUUGAUUAUGUUAAUAAAGGUCAUCAACGUUC